rnacentral:rRNA from 1 species
UACGGAGGUCCCGAGCGUUGUUCGGAUUCACUGGGCGUAAAGGGUGCGUAGGUGGCUUGGUAAGUUUGAUGUGAAAGCUCAGGGCUUAACCCUGAAAUGGCAUUGAAUACUACUGUGCUGGAGGUUUGGAGGGGGGACUGGAAUUCUUGGUGUAGCAGUGAAAUGCGUAGAUAUCAAGAGGAACACCAGUGGCGAAGGCGAGUCCCUGGACAACACCUGACACUGAGGCACGAAAGCUAGGGGAGCAAACAGG